UCUCCGUAGGUGAACCUGCGGAGGGAUCAUUACAGAGUUCUCGCCCUCGCGGGUAGAUCUCCCACCCACUGUUAUCGUUACUGUGUUGCUUCGGCGGGCCGCCGGGCCCCGCUCGGCCGCCGGCUCCGGCUGGCGCGCGCCCGCCAGAGGCCCAGCAAACUCUGAAUGUUAGUGUCGUCUGAGUACUAUAUAGUAGUUAAAACUUUCAACAACGGAUCUCGUGGUUCUG
rnacentral:misc_RNA from 1 species